UCUUAUUUUCACUCAGGUGCACCUCCUAAACUGAGCGGCGAUUCGCCAGAGGAUUUCACGAAUUUUGCCGACUACUUCCGACAACUGGGAUGUAACAUUGAUGGAGGCACGACUUACCAGUGGUUCCACAAUGGCACUUUGGUCACACAAACUUCACCCAUGUUUUACAUAUUCAGCAAGCAACUAGUAGUCAAGGCAAACUCAGCCACUCCCAACUAUCAAGGAACAUAUCAAUGCAAAGCUUCUAAUGAUGAUGGAACAUUACUGGGUCCAAAGAUUAAUGUCUAUUUCUCAAGUACGUGUGUCAACAAAUCUCAUGAAAUUUUUUUGAUGAAAAUUUUGAAUUAACUAAUGAAGGCAAACCUAAUCCAGUAUUUUCCAACACCCGCCAACAUUACCAAACCAACAUGUUAAAGGAAUAUGGCAAUAUAAAUUAAAUUUGUCUUAUGCAUACGUCAUAGGGUAAAAAGCGAAAUUUUUAUCUUGCAAACCACAUGUCAUUAUCAAUAUGAAACUCGAUUUUCCGAAGUCUUUUUAGUUCUCAAUUAACUGACAACAUUUUAAGAAACGUUUCGAAGAAAUUUAGUCCGACAUGAAGAAGUUUUAAUAAGUUUACCCUGCUUGUGACGUCUUCAAAAAUUCAGUUAAUUAGGUCAAAUAUAAUACCAAGAGCCAGGACUACAUGCUGUUUUUGGUCAAAAUAUUUCGAAAACCAAGCAAGGUACGAAAAGGGUCUUCUUCAUAUAUAAAUUUAAAAGUUAUUUCAAAUAAGACAAAGUUAAUUUUCAUUGCCAUAUCCCUUUAAGUGGAAAUAUUGGACGAUCUUGUACCAACGUGUUCAUGGACCGCGCAUCGAUUUUACCAUUGGGGGUGGCGUUGAUAUGACCCUACUCUUCCUACUGGGGGUCUGGUGCAUGCCGCACAGAGAAUAUUGAAAAUUUCAAGCCCCCAAAUUGCAUUAUUUUCCAGCCAUUUCCUACAAUAAAUUUGUUUCAAAGUAAACAUGCAUGCGUGUGAAACACAUGCUAUCAAUUUCACAAAACAAGCACGGGUGUAGGGGGGGGGGGGGCUGAAGCUACCCUCACAGGCCCCGCCCCGCUUGCGCGGUCCCUGGUCUUGGACCGGUUUGGGGGGGCCUUCAUAAUGCAUUUUCAUUUCUCGUUCAGUUGUUGGCAAAUUCAUCAAGAAUGAUGAAAUGAUCGAUGAUGCAGAUGUGACGGUAGGAAAGGAUCUCGCCCUAACCUGCCCCCCUCGCACCUUGUCCCGCAACGUUUUCUACCACUGGGGCGGUCGACAGGGUGUCACAGGGACGUGGUUCGUUCCCCAGGCGGCACACUACAUGAUCAUGGAGGAUGGGACAUUACUAUUCGCUAAUGUGAAGGACAAAGAUCUUGAGUAUUUUAAUGUCGUGAAAGAUGGCGUCAGCUGCAGCAUCGAGUCGAAGGGGAAGAACAAAAGGUUGGCGUUCUCGCAGAGGUUUUUGUUACGCGAAGUCGGAGGUACGAAUACCAACUUUUUU